rnacentral:lncRNA from 1 species
UAGCGGGACGGUUCCAAUUCGCCUUUCCUCGAGAGCUUUUUUUUUUCUCCGCUUCGAUCGAAAAUGAUUUUUUUUUUUUGGUAUACGAAAGACGAAAGCCGACCAACGAAUCACCCGCUGCCACGUCUCUAAGGAUCAAAUCCUUUAAAUCCUUAUGUAAGGAUUAAUCCUUAGCUUAUUUAGCUCAAAUAAUAUUAUUAUAAUCCCAAAAGCAUAU